AGCAGCCGCAGUAAUUCCAGCUCCAAUAGCGUAUAUUAAAGUUGUUGCAGUUAAAAAGCUCGUAGUUGAAUUUCGGAAUCAAUAUAUCGGUCGUGCCUUGGUACGUACUGGUAUCAUUGAUUUCUCCCUUCUGACGAACCAUGAUGUCAUUAAUUUGGUGUUAUGGGGAGUUAGGACUGUUACUUUGAAAAAAUUGAGUGUUUAAAGCAGGCUCGCGCUUGAAUACAUUAGCAUGGAAUAAUGAAAUAGGACGUUUGAUUCUAUUUUGUUGGUUUCUAGGAUCGACGUAAUGAUUAAUAGGGAUAGUUGGGGGCAUUAGUAUUCAAUUGUCAGAGGUGAAAUUCUUGGAUUUAUUGAAGACUAACUACUGCGAAAGCAUUUGCCAAGGAUGUUUUCAUUAAUCAAGAACGAAGUUAGGGGAUCGAAGACGAUCAGAUACCGUCGUAGUCUUAACCAUAAACUAUGCCGACUAGGGAUCGGAUGAUGUUAAUUUUUAAUGACUCAUU
rnacentral:rRNA from 1 species